AACGAACGCUGGCGGCAGGCCUAACACAUGCAAGUCGAGCGAGACCUUCGGGUCUAGCGGCGGACGGGUUAGUAACGCGUGGGAACGUACCCUUUUCUAAGGAAUAGCCACUGGAAACGGUGAGUAAUGCCUUAUACGCCCUUCGGGGGAAAGAUUUAUCGGAGAAGGAUCGGCCCGCGUUAGAUUAGAUAGUUGGUGGGGUAAUGGCCUACCAAGUCUACGAUCUAUAGCUGGUUUGAGAGGAUGAUCAGCAACACUGGGACUGAGACACGGCCCAGACUCCU
rnacentral:rRNA from 1 species